AUUGAGGUCUUGGCCAGGAGAGGUGGCUCACGCCUGUAAUCUCAGCACUUUGGGAGACUGAGGCAGGUGGAUCACGAGGUCAAGAAAUCAAGACCAUCCUGGCCAACAUGGUGAAACCCUGUCUCUACUAAAAAUACAAAAAUUAGCUGGGCGUGGUGGCUCAUGUCUGUAAUCCCAGCUACUCUGGAGACUGAGGAAGGAGAAUCCCUUGAACCCAGGAGGCAGAGGUUGCAGUGAGCUGAGAUGGUCCACUGCAUCCCAGCCUGGUGAUAGAGCGAGACUGUGUGGAAAGAAAGAAGAAAGAAAGAAAGAAAAGAAAAGAAAAGAGAAAGAAAGAAAGAAAUUGAGGUUUUGAGGCUGGCUGGGAUUCCCAGGACCAGAGCUAAACAUGAGGCUGAUACAGACCUUAAAGCAAGAAGCCCAUUUGCUGUGAAGAUAACGUGAGUACACAAAGACCAAGGGACCUGGGAAGAAAGGAGUCCAGGAAAGAUAUGAGCAAAGCCAAUUUCAGUCUGUAGUGAAGAAGGCUGGAAGUUCACGCAUGGUAUUCACAGUCCCAGAGGGAGGCCCACUUACUGUUGUUUCCAUGGAGCUGGUGGGCAUCUUGGGCACCAGGCAGUGAGUGAAUUCGAUUCUCUGGUCUUUGGUGGUGAUGGACAGGCCUUUCUGCAGAAUUUUCACCAAGCGG